GGUUGAUGCUGUGAAUGCGCUCGGUCAUCCCCUUGCAACUGAUGUCACCUGCAGCAUGUCAACGCAGACACAAAACAGGGCAUGGGUCAGAUCUAGCUGGUUGCAUUCCUAACACCUAGGUUUCAGAGUAAAAAUACAGAGUCAGCUUGUGAUGGCAUUCCCUCAAAACAUGGAAGGAAUUGCAGUAAUGAAAGUCAUCAUGUAUUCUAAGAGACUGUUCUGCGAGAGCACAACACAGACGGGGCUAAAGCAGGGUGAGAAGCAAAAGUGCUCAGGAGUUAAGAGAAGCAGACGUCCGAAAUUAUCUCCAUGCAUUACCAAAAACCGUGGGCACCACGGCACGGGGAAAACUUACCAGGUACAAUGAGCCAGUGACUGUUACUGAAUUUCUUAAGAUUACACUUUUCCCAACUACUGCAGACUGCUUCAGAAUAGAAGAAGACAACUCUCAUGCCAUCAAGCCGACGGACUUUCAAAAAAAUAAAAGAUGCAUUUCUUUACUUGGCCCAUGAGAAGUAAAAGCAGGCACUGGCAUUCUGCACAGAUGAAAUACUUCCUACGACAGGAAUACAUGCUCACUUGUGGACUUCUCUGUAAUCUGUAGGCAACAUCAGCUCCUGAUUUCUAGGUCUGGAUCUGGGUUCUCUGUAGCACAGGAAGCAUAGUUACUCUGUGAUGAAGAAAAACUCAGAAAACUAUCCAGAUGUGGGAAUUUCUCGGGUAUUCCUUGCACUUGAACUUAAGGAUGAAUGAAGGUAUAUACAAGUCUCUACUUCUCCUACAUAAAUGCCUUGCAUGGCGGGAACUAAAUCAACUACACAGACCCAUACAUCCAGAGAGCAGAGGUGAGCUGGAUACAAGUGGCUUAGAGAUGUGGUGGAAGGAGGCCAGAGCUCCAAGGGAAGGGCAGCAAGGAGACAACAGCAUGGGUUGCAGCUCAGACAACAGGUAAAUAAAACCAAGCAAAGCUGCUGGUCACAGAUUUGACCAGGGUGGCAAGAAAUGACAAGCUACCAUGAGAUUCAACAGUGGCACGGAAGGAUGAUGAGAAGCAAACAGAUUAGGAGAAGCUGCCACCACCGUACAUAGAGGCACAGAUGACCAAGCAGAACAGCACCAGUCCCUGCAAGGUGUGCUCAGAUACAGCUCAGCACAGCCAUCUGGCCAGGAGGGAAUGAUAAUGCACAUGGUGUGCACUGCAGCCGGGAAGUUGAGAACCGCUGUGGGCACCUCAGGACUGAGUCUGGUUACCCUGCUGAUCCAAGAAAUGAAGCCAUCUAAAAUUUUGCCUGCUUUCACAAUUUUCUGUGUGUGUGUGUGUGUAUUAAACAAAGUGAACUAAGAAGCCUUUUAUUGGAGACAUAAUGUACUCACAGUAGUUUCAAAAUCAAUGGUGUCACUCUUCAGGUAAAUUACUCCAAGGCUUGGGCCUAGUGCAGAUGUUCAUUGGGGCAGGGAGCAGAGAGCGGCUGCAUCUAGAUCAGACAAAAAACAAAAAUAAGGUUGUUAAAUGAACAGGUGAUGGUGAUGGCAAUUAUUUAUUUUGAUAGGAAAG
rnacentral:lncRNA from 1 species